rnacentral:misc_RNA from 1 species
GAAAUGCGAUAAGUAAUGUGAAUUGCAGAAUUCAGUGAAUCAUCGAAUCUUUGAACGCACCUUGCGCUCCUUGGUAUUCCGAGGAGCAUGCCUGUUUGAGUGUCAUGUUCUUCUCAAUCCCUUCGGUUUUGCGAUCGUUGGGCUUGGAUGUGGAGGUCUGCUGGCUAUGCGGUCGGCUCCUCUGGAAUGCAUUAGCUGGGCUUUCGCUCGAUGCAACGGUGUAAUACUUUCUUCACCGGUGUACCUUGCGAUAGAGGCUCGCUUCUAAUCGUCGAAAGACACAUUGACUCCUUUGACCUCAAAUCAGGUAGGACUACCCGCUGAACUUAA